CAAGUCAAUAGCUUUAACAUAUAAAACUAUCGAGCCGAAAUUCAAACCCUAGAAUCACCUUGCCGAUGUUGAUCAAAACAAAACAAGCAUACAAAAAGGGAUAGAAUUUUUACUUUCACCAAAAUGAUAAUAUGACAUAUUGGUGAUCUCCAUAAGAAUUUAAAGUAGAAACCCUCCAAUGGUGAUCCAUACGAAAGUUGGCCAAGGUCCUUCCUAACCGGUGUGCCGCCGCAGCCUUAUCUUCUCAAGAACACUGUCGGCUUCGAAC
rnacentral:lncRNA from 1 species